rnacentral:rRNA from 1 species
CUGCUCAAUGAUUUUUUAAAUUGCUGUAGUAUUUUGACUAUACAAAGGUAUUGAAAUAAGAUUUUAAUUGAAUGCUAAGAGAAUGGAAGUCCAGAAAAAAACUUUUUUUAAAUUAAAAAUUGAAGUUUUUUUAAUUUGUGCAGAAACAAUUAUUUAUAUUAAAGACAAGAAGACCCUAUGAAUUUAUUAAAUUUUUAUUUAAUAUGUAAUUACUAUUAGAAAAAUUUUGGCUGGGGCGGCUAGAAAAUAUUAUGAACUUUUUAAAAAUAAAAUGAUCCAUUAUUAAUGAUUUUAUGUUAAAUACUCUAGGGA